UUCCCAUUGUUGUACAGCAGAAGCUAACACAACAUUGCAAAGCAAUUAUAUUCCAAUUUAAAAAAAUAAAUGUAAAAAAUGUCUUUUAAAAUAAAAAUGUUUAUAAUAAUAAUAUUCCCCCCAAAAUACACUCUCCCCUUUCUGGGCCCACGACUGCAUUUCCCAGCCUCCCUUGCAAUUAGGUGUGGCAUGCAGCUGAACUCUCCCUGGGCAUAUUAGCAGAAGUGAUGUGUGCCACUUUCAGACCAGACCCAUUAACAACACCCAAGUGUGCUUUGCUCCGCUCUUUCCGCAUUUAAAGAGACUUCAAUGGCAACACUCAGGACCACCUGGAAGACACGCAUUCAAGAUGUCAGAGCAACCAGCAGCCUUGAUUUCUGAAUCAAAGCAUGGAGGAGAGCUUCCCUAGACAUAAAUUCCCAGCCUGAACCUUUGAUCAGAAACAGAUCAACUUUUCAUUCUGCACCAGGCAGAGUCCUUGUCUAUUUCUGAAUGUGAGUUCCUCUGCCAGCUGUCAGGCCUCCCCAUCACCCGGAGACUUCCUGUGUUUAAGGAAUGAAAAAUCACCUCCUCAGCAAGACACUUCCAAAUGCCCCUGGGCAUUCAGUUUCUAUGCUUUUGUGAUCUCAUCACAUGGGCACACCUGGGCACACCUUCGUUUAAGGCUUAUUAUCCUCAGCUACAAUGAUUUAUAAUUACUUUGUUUAGCUUUUUUACCACAGGAGUGUUAACUCCUGGAAGGCAUUCCCCUUACUCCACCUUAAAGCCUUUAACCAGGUGUUCAUUCACUUCCUCAUAUCUUUGCUCAAAUAUUAGCUUCUUGCUGAGACCUCACCAGCAAUCCCUGUUUAAAUGUGCAACCUGGCCUUCCUCUUUCCUUGAGCCCUUGGCCAAGCCCCUAAUCCUUUGUUUUUUCCAUUCUAACACCUUUUAGAAUGCAA